CUAGCAAAGGAAAGUUAAACAUAACAACAUGAACUGAAUUAACCAGUGCACACGACUAGAAAAAAACAAACAUCAUUUGACAUCGAGUUUCUAAUUAAAUCAUGGCUGCAACUGGGCAGCGUUAUUAUAAUAGUGAAGGUGGACGUGCUGCUACUUCCCUCAUUCCCAACAUGAAUCAAAUACCUGCAUUGAGUAAUGCAAGAGUGAGAUGAUACAUCUCAGCAAGCAAAUUAUUUUGACGAGAUAUUUAAACCACAAAUUGAAUUAAACAACAUUUUAAAGGAAUCCCAAUUGAGAUUAGAAAUACUUGUAGAUAUAGAACUCAAUAGUCCCAAUAUAACCAAUACCAUCUCAUUUCCUCAAACAACCACAAUAGGUUGUAUAACCCUUCCCUGCGUCAACAAUACCUGCAGAUAUCACUUCAAUGUAUGCAUAGGAAUGCAAUGUGUAGGUCAUCUCCCCGCAUACCUCUGAGAGUAUAAAACCACAUCAUCUGCUAAUAUCACUUCAAUGAAUGCAUAUAAAUGCAAUGCAUAUGUCCUCUGCCUUCAUACCUCUAAGGGUAUGAAGCCGCAUCGUACCCCUCCUCGGGCAACGUACGAUGCUAAGUUGUACCGGUACGGUCGGACCAUAGGUCACGACCAAACUUCAUAUGCAAAUGAAUAAUGUAAUGCAUAUGGCAUGCUGCAUUUAUCAAUAUACUUCACUUCCUUCAGAUACAAUACAAACCUCAAAUAAUACUUUAUCUGCCUUCAGAGGUGUAAAUUAAUCUCAUGGGUCAUACUCGAACCAUAAUCAUCAUCAAUAUAUGAUUGAGCAUCAGUAUAAUACAAGCAAGUAAAGCAUCACCAUAGAGUUCAAUUAUGAAAGAAUUCCAUAAUUCUGAAUAUUAGAGCGUAGGCGAUAAAAAAACAACAAGUCAAAACGGUAGCAACCACUGCUACAUUCACUUGCCUUCAUCGAAGAAGAAAGAUGUACUAGGCAUGAUCCGGAGUGUAGCCACCAAUUCUUGGAGAGGAACGACGAUGAUGGGCGACGGUAUGCCCUCAUCUCCCCUCUCUUCUCUUCUUUUUUCUUCCUCUCUUCUCUUGGGGCAAGGCACAAAAGGGUGACGGCUGCUAG
rnacentral:lncRNA from 1 species